GUUUAUUUAAACAGUCUAUUUAAUCAGUCUAUGUGUUAGGUUUGUUCAGGCAGCUUAAUUGCUGGAUUUAUUUAGGCAGGGUUCUUGCUGGAUUUAGCUAGGCAGUCUAUGGCUGUGUUUAGCUAGGCAGUCUAUUGCUGGAUUUAUCUAGGCAGUCUAUUGCUGUGUUUAUCUAGGCAGUCUAUUGCUGUGUUUAUCUAGGCAGUCUAUUGCUGUGUUUAGCUAGGCAGUCUAUUGCUGUGUUAUUUCCUAUACCACUUCAUGCUAUGUAGCUGCUGUAUCACUUGUUAACAUCUGUUGCUGUAUUGAGGCCAUUUAUCUGACAGAUUCUGUAUACUGCUCAUUGAUUUAUUGUUAUUCUG